GCAGGUACUAGGCGUGCCAUGUGCAGGCUCUUGCAGCCCAGCUGUUGCCCUGGCAGCUCCAUGACCACACCUCUGUGCCCAGACAUGGAUCAGAACUGGGAGAAAAAGAGAAGGUGGUACCUUCUAUCCCCUUCACCCUGGGUCUUUCAGGAUCUGCCCCAAGGAGCAGAAAACGGGUGCGCCCAGAGCAGCUUACUCAGGAGACGCUUGCUGUAUGUAUGGCCUGGGACAACUGUAAGAGCCCUGAGGGCACAGAGUAUGGGCAACAGGUGAUAGCAAAUCAAGGAGCAUAUUUAGCAAUGCCUGUGCUACCUAGCAAUGAGAAAUCUAUGAAAAUAGCGACACCACAGGAAUAGGGACUGCAGAGUGGGAAGAAAUGAGGGGUGACCAUGUUGAAGAAACUGUGUUUCGGCAGAGGAGAGAGCAGAGCAAUGGGGUGAGGUGGGAAUGCUUUUGGGUGGGCUUCAGAAGCAGUGAGGUCAGUGUGGCUGUCGUGAGGUGUGGAGAGUUGGGGAAGAGGAAAGGGGGUACCUGAGUUACCUGGGGCCACGUCACGUAGGGCCUGGUGGGCUGUGGUAGGGACUUGGGAUGUUUCUCUAAGUGCAGAAGAUUUUGAGCUGGGGAGAUGUGAUUGGAUUUAUGUUGUAGGGGCAAUAGAGACUAGGGAAUUGAACAGGAAGCAGGGAGGCCAGGAGGUGGCAGCUGUAGAGGUCUGGAGGCUUGGAUGUAACCAGGAGGGUUGGACAGAGCUACAGGUCAGACUGGGUCCACAUUUCAAAGGGGAUCUUAAAGGCUGUGAGAGGGACUAUUACAUGCCACCAAUAUUGAUUGUGCUCCUACCAUCAGGAUACAGAGAUGAGACAGUGAUUCCUGUCCUCAAGGAGGUUACAUUCGCAUGGGGAGAGACACAUAGCAAAAGAGACCACCAAGGCAAGUCCGCCGAGAGAUGAUGAGAGCCCAGAGGGCAUAUCACUAAGAGAAGGCCAGGAAUGAUCUCACGGAGCAAAUGGCAAUUGGCUUGAGUUUUGAGGAAGUAGAAGUUUGGUCAACAGGUAGGAAGCUGAGUAGGAAGGGAAUUUCUGGCAAAGGCACAGUUGCUGGUUCAGUGGCAUCGUUCCCUCUGGGGAAUCUGGGAAGACUGUGCCUGACUGUGGUUCCUGAUGGGAUUGCUGGUAACUGGCUCCAGAAAGAUUAUUUGGUGGAUAAAAAAAAAAUGCAGGAUAUAUUUGGAAAACUACAAGUUAGCCUCUAAGCUGGCAAUGUGAUGAGGGCAUGGCAGGGUGCCUCUAGGUUCUCUACAGUAAUGGGGCUCUGAAGAGAAAUUGAGGGGACUGUGAAGCUGUGUUUGCACAGUUCUCUGCAUAAGAUUUGGAAACAGCUGACAAUGCGCAUUAAAGAAUGAGGGUGCUGCUAAUGGAGGUCAUGAGAGUCACCACUCCCUAAACUUGCUCCUUGGCCCCCUCUUUGAGCUUGGAGGUAAAUCUGUGGAGGCUAAGGUUGGGUGGGGCAGUGUAUGUCCUGUUAAUGAGUUAGGACCACAACAAACAGGGAGCUCUUGAUGGGGUUCCUGAAGGUGAGUGAGAAGCUCAGGUGAGUCCUCUAGGGAGUUCACUCUGGAGUGUUGAGGGAGACAGAGUAGACAGGACAAGACAGCAGCUGAGGAAGAGGAUGGCUAGAAGGCUGUUGCAAAAUUCCACUAUGAUCUUCCCUUUGUAAAACCUUCUUUGGAACACACCCCAGAAUACACUGGAAAAUUCAGAAAGGUGGACAAUGGAGAAAGGACAGGAAGCAAGUCCCAGAAUCCACAGCAGCUCCCCAGCACCCCGGGCAAGCACUACCUCCCUGCCAAGGUUCAAGUGGGGCUCUCUUGGCAGCCUCCAUAGGAACUGGCCCGGGGCGAGUUCCCGGGGUAAAAGGUGCAACCUGGGUGUGGGCCGGUUUCCUUGUGAAGGCUGUGGCUUCCCCUCAGGCUCACCCUUGCUGAUGCUGAGUAAUCUGCAGGCUGCAAUCUGCCCGUGAAAGAACUCUUGCAACACAUUGUGUGAGGAUCCCAGGUAAACAGCCAAUGUGUGUGCCCAGAGCUGCACUUACGUCUGUCUUCUAGGGAAGCCUCCCUCCCCGCUGGCCUUCAGGCUGUGCCUCCACCCUGCCUCUGUCUUGUUCUCUUAGGCUGCCCUGUCCUUCCCUGGGAAUCAGGUCAAGAGCCCUGCUGGCAGGUGUCCUAGAGCAUGAAUCAGGCCCCUGGCAAGGAGAAGGCGGGAGAUCUUGGCUGAGAUCAGAUGUGGAACCAAUUCAGGAUUGUCCUUGUGAUUCUUUUUCCUAAGUGGAAUACUGAGCCUCCAGCUUGUGUGUCAUAUGUGUGGACUUUUCAGCAUAUUCUUCUCUGGCCCAGAAGUCUGGAUUCUUCUUGUCUGUUGCAAUAAUAUAAAGUUAUUCAGAGCUGUACAUGAAGAGAAGUCCCACAGGGACCCUGGGAUCAGAAGAACUCUGGGAAAUGCCUGGCCCAGCCAGUGCUGUUCUAAAGAUCCUCAUCCUCAUGGAGAUAACCAUUUUUAAGGAAGAAAAGAGGAUCUGGACCCUACCCAUCUCAGUCUCCAUCAGAUCUUAUGGAUGCUCCAGGAAUUGGCCAUGAUUCUCCUCUUUUCUACCAUCUUGUAUGUUGGGCUUUGUAGAGGAUAGAUGUUUUCUAGAAGAAUGGCAGAUAAGGCAAGGUCUGCAGCUUGCCAUUGAUAGUGUCUUUAUCAACAGAUCUGUGAGGAAUUGUGCAGCUGAGAGGGGAGAAGAGAAAUCAGAGAGUGGAUGGACUGCCACAGUUCAACAUAUACUGGUGCUUUCAAUAUAGAAUCCACAAGGCAACCUGCAUGCUGGGCUCUGUGCUAGGCACUAGGGGUAUAUCUAUGAGAUGCCACCCCAGCUCCCACAGUCUUACAAUCUAAUGGGGAAGAGAGAUAUGUCAAUAGACAAACGCAGCAGAUGGCAAGUGCUGGGAUAUGAAACAGUAAGCAGAAGCCACAGUGUUCUCUGGGACUUCUGAGCUGAGUCCCAAAGUAAUUAGAUUAAUCCGUCAUGGGAGGUGGAGUGGGUAGGGGGAGCUCCUGGAAGCAUGAUCAAAAGUGGAGAGCUAAGGUGAGGGAGAAGAAAGAAAUGAGAUUCAGCAAAGAGGAGGAGAGCAAUGAAGGGCCAUGUAUGACCAGGCGAAGGCAAAUUGUUCGGACCAAACAUGACAGUAGGGUGGGUUUUUGAGGGGUAUCCACUGCACUUACAGAGGCAAGAUUCUCUAUGGUGACCUUUCAGUGAGGGUGGGCAAAUACACUACUUUUUGAGUCAGCCAUUUUUCACUACUGAGCACCUCUGGCCUUAGCAAGUUCUGAGCAUGAAUACUUUCUUCUGUUUCUAAGCCAUUCAACAAAUAUCAAAGUGCUUUCCCAUGUAUUGGUCAUCUUAGGCAAACUGGGUGGACAUGUAGAGCAAGACGUAAUGAGGUAAGCACUCACUAGAGCUAGGUCAUCUUAGAAAAGUCACUUAGCUUCACUGAGCCUCAGUCUUCCUAUCUGUGAAAUGGGGAUAAUGACCCUUAUGUCACCUGGUGGGCAAGGUCUAAAUAAAAUCAUUGUAGUUAGAUCCAUAGUAGGUUCUUUCUGACCUACCACUGUGCACCUCACGCCGUUGCUAUUCCAGUGGGAUAUAUCCAGUGGGGUUACGGGUAUGACAUUUCGGAACCCCACCAUCACUUGUAUCAGCAGGUCUGUCCUAGGUUCCCCAACUAAGCUUCCUGGAUGAGGCACCUAGUGGCGUCCCCUAGUUUGAGUGUGGGGGGUUUGGUAAACUAGUCCUUAUGUAUGCUUGUCAGAUGGAGGGUACUGUCUUUAAGAUGGGCUCAUAGCUGAAUCUGGAAGGUAAGUGCUCCAGGCCAGUAUUGUUUUCUGCAGGAUUCAAAGUUCCCUUGCUAUUUCUGCUGACUUUGCUUCCCCUCUCGUGUUCUAUAUCCCAAACCUAUUAUCUUCACCAGCGUUAAUUUGCCUCCACAACUCUGUUUUUGCAUUUUGAAAUGGAAUUUCCCUUAACCUAUAUUCCUCUGGUUCCCAAACUCCACCUGCUUCAGUUUUUUUUUCAAUAUCAUCUACAUUUCCUUCACUAGAUUAUAGCCUUAGUCAUUUGUACCCUUAGAAUGAAUAUUUUUUUCUGUCAUAUCUUUGUUUGAACCUUUUCACAUUUGACUUCAGACAUUACCCAUCUCCUUCAUCUGACCACUUUCUUCACUUUUCUCAUCUUUCCAUUUUGGUUGUAUGUCUACUGAGCAAGGGGCUCUGUGCAGAGCAUUCAAAGAUGACUGAGAUGUAGUCUUGUGGGUAGAGAGAGACAAUUAGAAUGCACCGUGGAGAGUGUUAGGUUGAGGGAAGCGGAGAUUACAGGAGUCCAAAUGUCUUAUCCGAGGAUAUGGGAUAGGCUUGAGAGAAGAUGCUGAGCUCAUGUAGGUGAGGUAUUGUCCUACGUGAAGGAAAAGAGGCAGGAGAUGGCAGCUUGGAGGCUAUAUUACUUUCUCUGGGGCUGCCAUACCAAAGUACCACAAACUGGGUGGCUUAAAACAUCAAAAAUGUAUUUUCUCACAGUUCUAGAAGGUAGAAGCCCAAAAUCAAGAUGUUGGCCCUACAGCUGUGCUCCUUCUGAAGGCUUUGGGGUGAAUGUGUUUAAUGCCCUUUUCUUAGCUUCUGCCCUUUUCUUUUCUGGCCUUCACAGAAGGCCAAAGAGCAAUCCUUGGCCUUCCUUGGCUUGUGGAUGCAUCGUUUCAGUCUCUGCCUCUGUUUUCACAUGGCCCUCUUCCCUGUGUAUCUGUCUCUACGCUGCUUCUCAUCUUAUAAGGACACAAGUCAGAUUGGAAUAAAGCCUAUUCUAAUUCAGUAUAAUCACAUCUUAACUUGAUUAUGUAUGCAAAGACCAUAUUUCCAAAUAAGGUCACAUUUUCAGGUCCUCGGGGUUAGAGCUUUCACAUGUCUUUUUGGGGGACAUAGUUCAACUCAUAAUAGAAACCUCGCAGAUAAAUCAUUUUGGCCGGUGCACAGAGUUAAGUGGUGGAUUAUCAAGAAUAUGGAAUUUUAGAAUUUUAGCUUCUUGGUUGAUUUUUGGGAAUUAACAUACAGGAGAGCAGGUUUAGAAGUAACAAUAACACUUUGAGAGGCCGAGGUGGGCAGAUCAUGAGGUCAGGAGAUCGAGACCAU
rnacentral:lncRNA from 1 species